GGCCUGGAGGGGUGGGUUCGCCCAUGAACCCGCCCCUUCCGGUUGGCCCCGCCUUUCUACUCCUCUUCCACCUCUAUGUCUCGGUUCACCUAGAGCGCCGACAGACACUGAAAGAGAACUACACCCACACCGUUUCCGGCAGGCCGAAACGGAUUUAUCUUCUGACCAAAUUAGGAAGAUAAAGAUUUAGCACCCUCACUCCAGACUCCCACUUUUCCUACUUGCAUCCUCCAUGCAUGCAAUAUAUGCUGGAGUGCAGGAAACCGAAUUGAAGGAGAGAGGAAUCGGCAUUUUCGGAAUGCAGCAGAGAUUUCAUGAAAAUUGGUCAUUGGGUUUGGCAAUAGGAAGGCCAUGUAAAGAGGAGUUUCAGGGGAGUAGAGCUGGAAACCAGAGUGCACCAUGGGUUAAAAUGUGAGUAGGAAGUUGAGGAGUUAAUGAGAAGUGAAGUCAGUGACUAUAUACAGCUUGCUUUCAGGAAUGUGAGGUAAAGAAGGUGAAGAUAUUAUGUGGCAUGUCUUCCCACUUCAGAUGAUUCUAAGCACCUUGAGACAAAUAUUUAGUAAUGUACCAUAUGUGCAACCUUAAUUCAGUAAAUAUUGACAGGAAUGAUUCUAAUAAA